AUGUACCUACGGGGGGCAGCAGUGGGGAAUAUUGCACAAUGGGGGGAACCCUGAUGCAGCGACGCCGCGUGGGUGAAGAAGUCAUUCGUGACGUAAAGCCCUAUCAGCAGGGAAGAAAAUGACGGUACCUGACUAAGAAGCCCCGGCUAACUACGUGCCAGCAGCCGCGGAAAUACGUAGGGGGAAAGCGUUAUCCGGAUUUACUGGGUGUAAAGGGGGCGCGGACGGCGAUGCAAGCCAGGAGUGAAAGCCCGGGGCCCAACCCCGGGACUGCUCUUGGAACUGCGAGGCUGGAGGGCAGGAGG
rnacentral:rRNA from 1 species